ACACCAUCAAGCCCUGCUUGGUCUUGGACUCGGUCGAGUGACCCGUCCGCAACCCGUUGGCGGUGCAGUCCGGCUUCAAGCGUAGCAAGAAUUUCGCUUUGGGAGUCCGUGGCGGCGUCUGCCGGGAAACACCACCUAAA
rnacentral:misc_RNA from 2 species